GCCGGGCGUGGUGGCGCGCACCUGUAGUCCCAGCUACUCAGGAGGCUGAGGUAGGAGGAUCACUUGAGUCCAGGAGUUCUGGGCUGCAGUGCGCUAUGCCAAUCGGGUGUCCACACUAAGUUUGGCAUCAAUAUGGUGACCUCCCGGGAGCAGGGGACCACCAGGUUGCCUAAGGAGGGGUGAACCGGCCCAGGUUGGAAACGGAGCAGGUCAAAACUCCCGUGCUGAUCAGUAGUGGGAUCGCGCCUGUGAAUAGCCACUGCACUCCAGCCUGGGCAAUAUAGUGAGACCCUGUCUCUU
rnacentral:SRP_RNA from 1 species